GGAGCCAACGUUGAAAUACCACCCUGGUGUGUUUGAGGUUCUAACCUUGGCCCCUGAAUCGGGGUUGGGGACAGUGUAUGGUGGGCAGUUUGACUGGGGCGGUCUCCUCCCAAAGUGUAACGGAGGAGUUCGAAGGUACGCUAGGCACGGUCGGAAAUCGUGCUGAUAGUGCAUUGGCAUAAGCGUGCUUGACUGCGAGACUGACAAGUCGAGCAGGUACGAAAGUAGGACAAAGUGAUCCGGUGGUUCUGUAUGGAAGGGCCAUCGCUCAACGGAUAAAAGGUACUCUGGAUAACAGGCUGAUACCGCCCAAGAGUUCAUAUCGACGGCGGUGUUUGGCACCUCGAUGUCGGCUCAUCUCAUCCUGGGGCUGUAGCCGGUCCCAAGGGUAUGGCUGUUCGCCAUUUAAAGAGGUACGUGAGCUGGGUUUAAAACGUCGUGAGACAGUUUGGUCCCUAUCUUCCGUGGGCGCUGCAGAUUUGAGGAAGCCUGCUCCUAGUACGAGAGG
rnacentral:rRNA from 1 species